rnacentral:misc_RNA from 1 species
AUUACCCAUCACAAAAUUCUUCCUUUUGAUCUUGAGCCCCAUUAAUGACAUGACAUUCAUCUGUUAAAUUAUCAUAAAUAUAACUUAAUAUAAGUUGCUUGAUAUGAUGAAGGCAAGUGAGGAUGAAUCAUCUCCUUCCAUCAAUUCAUUUAGAAUCACAAAACAGCAACACUGACACAACCUGUUUUAGGUGACAGGCAGAAAUUGGCAACUCACAAUUAAUUUAUCUCAACACAAGAGAUACAUACCCGCAAAAAUGCACACAUAAAGUAGCCUGGUUAACUUUUACUAGACUAUUUCAUCUCAAGACAUCUAUGGUGUCUUCAUUAUAGACCAUUUAACCAUUUAACAGAAACUGCAAAACAGGAUCUGCAUACUUGAUAUCUCCUUAAACUCUAGCUCCAUUCAUCAAUUCGACCAUACCCUAGGGUUUUUAUGGACCACAAUCACUUAAUUUAGAAUACUUAGAGAGGGAUAGAACUCAACCCAUAAAUAAACUAUGUAUAGAAGGUUCUUUAACUUCAGAUAAUUAAUCCAGAAAACUUCUCAAAUGUCUUUGUAAUAUGUAUCCAGAAAAGUUGUAUGUUGAAAUCUUCCUACUUGAAAAUACUUUUCCAUUUGUGUCUGUUUAAGAUAAAAGAGAGUUCAUCAUUAAUUCCAUCUGAACAACAAGAUGACAUGGUCAAUCAAUGAUUGCAUGUUUUAUACAGUAUUGAUAUUAUAUCAGUUAUCAGAAAUGAAACUUUGGCUCUAAACAGGCAUGAAUUAUCAAAAUGGCCCACAUAGGCAUCCAAACUGGUUUUCAAUUGAAGUUUCCUUAAGUGAUGCCAUAGUUUUAUUGCCAUGAAAUCAAAAGUUCCAAAGAGCAAAAGUUCACAUAUUGGCCAUGAAAUAGAAAAUGAAUAACUUCAUAUGUAUGCUAUGGUAGACUAGCCA